UACGGGGGGAGCAAGCGUUGUUCGGAUUUACUGGGCGUAAAGGGCGCGUAGGCGGCCACCGCAAGUCGACUGUGAAAUCUCCGGGCUUAACCCGGAAAGGUCAGCCGAUACUGCGGGGCUAGAGUGCAGAAGGGGCAACUGGAAUUCUCGGUGUAGCGGUGAAAUGCGUAGAUAUCGGGAGGAACACCUGCGGCGAAGGCGGGUUGCUGGGCUGACACUGACGCUGAAGCGCGAAAGCUAGGGGAGCGAACGGG
rnacentral:rRNA from 1 species